AUCGCUUCUCGGCCUUUUGGCUAAGAUCAAGUGUAGAAUUUUAGUGAAUUUAAAUAGGUUAUGAAUCUGUUAUCUGGACUGUAUAUUAUUCUAUAAUUGUCCCCAAUGUGACACUUGCAUAUUAAUGAGAAUUUUGAUCCUCC
ensembl:snRNA U2 U2 spliceosomal RNA